rnacentral:rRNA from 1 species
GGAAUAUUGGACAAUGGGCGAAAGCCUGAUCCAGCAAUGCCGCGUGAGUGAUGAAGGCCUUAGGGUUGUAAAGCUCUUUUACCCGGGAUGAUAAUGACAGUACCGGGAGAAUAAGCUCCGGCUAACUCCGUGCCAGCAGCCGCGGUAAUACGGAGGGAGCUAGCGUUAUUCGGAAUUACUGGGCGUAAAGCGCACGUAGGCGGCUUUGUAAGUAAGAGGUGAAAGCCCAGAGCUCAACUCUGGAAUUGCCUUUUAGACUGCAUCGCUUGAAUCAUGGAGAGGUCAGUGGAAUUCCGAGUGUAGAGGUGAAAUUCGUAGAUAUUCGGAAGAACACCAGUGGCGAAGGCGGCUGACUGGACAUGUAUUGACGCUGAGGUGCGAAAGCGUGGGGAGCAAACAGGAUUAGAUACCCGGG